GAUGAACGCUGGCGGCGUGCCUAACACAUGCAAGUCGAGCGAUUUACUUCGGUAAAGAGCGGCGGACGGGUGAGUAACGCGUGGGUAACCUGCCCUGUACACACGGAUAACAUACCGAAAGGUAUGCUAAUACGAGAUAAUAUGCUUUUAUCGCAUGGUAGACGUAUCAAAGCUCCGGCGGUACAGGAUGGACCCGCGUCUGAUUAGCUAGUUGGUAAGGUAACGGCUUACCAAGGCGACGAUCAGUAGCCGACCUGAGAGGGUGAUCGGCCACAUUGGAACUGAGACACGGUCCAAACUCCUACGGAAGGCAGCAGUGGGGAAGAUUGCACAAUGGGCGAAAGCCUGAUGCAGCAACGCCGCGUGAGCGAUGAAGGCCUUCGGGUCGUAAAGCUCUGUCCUCAAGGAAGAUAAUGACGGUACUUGAGGAGGAAGCCCCGGCUAACUACGUGCCAGCAGCCGCGGUAA
rnacentral:rRNA from 1 species